UACAGAGGUCUCGAGCGUUAGGCGGAAUCACUGGGCUUAAAGCGUGUGUAGGCGGAUCGGUAAGUACCUUGUGAAAUCCCACAGCUUAACUGUGGAACUGCUUGGUAUACUGCCAGUCUUGAGCCAGCUAGGGGGCUACCGGAACAAAUGGUGGAGCGGUGAAAUGCGUAGAUAUCAUUUGGAACGCCAAUGGUGAAAACAGGUAGCUGGGGCUGUGCUGACGCUGAGACACGAAAGCCAGGGGAGCAAACGGG
rnacentral:rRNA from 1 species